rnacentral:misc_RNA from 1 species
GGAUCACUCCAAUAGCUUAUAUGAGAAUAGCCAUGUGUGUCAAGUGUAAAUCAUUUUACCCUAUUAUGAUAUGAUUGUUAAGGAGCCAUACAUAUUCUUAUCAACUUAGACAGGAUGCUCUCUAAAGUGUUUUCAGAUUAUCAGUUAGGGGAACAUUGCAUUUCAAGAGGUCCCGAAGUAGAAGUUAACAGUUAUUCUUGUUUGGGGGCUUACUUUCUUCAGACACAUUGGCUCCACAUCAAUAUAUAAGCAUCUUGAUCUUUGACUUGAAGUGAUGUUUAGUUACAAAUCAAGCCUCAUGGCAAUUAGGAAAAGUCCAAAAAAAGCAUAGGACAAAGGUUCAACCAUAGAGUGAAGCUUGUUUACAAAGCGUUCUCAUAUCACAAAAGGACAUACUGAUUUAGAGCUCAUGGUGAUUUCUUCAGAAUAAGAGUUUGAGACUGCUAUUGAAAUUCUUUACCAAUUACUCUGCCCCCACAUUUAGUCUUUAGAUACUUGCUCACAAAAUCCAGCUGUAAGUGGAUAGAAGUCAUACAUUUGUCUUUUGGCAGUUUUAUUAUAUUGCAUAACAUCGUCAAAAAAAAA